rnacentral:lncRNA from 1 species
GAAUUUCAUGUGUUCUGAUUUAUGCCCAUUACCUUUUAUUCUUCCACUAUGUACAACUGGGAAGAGUCUGGCCAUCUUUAUUGAUGAUCUGGACAAGGGGAUCGAAUGCACCCUCAGUAAGUUUGCAGAUGACACCAAACUAAGUGGGAGUGCUGAUCUGCUUGAGGGUCGGAAGGCUCUACAGAGGGAUCUGGACAGACUGGAUCAAUGGGCCAAGGACAACAGGAUGAGGUUUAAUAAGGCCAAGUGCCGGGUCCUGCAUUUUGGUCACAACAACCCCAGACAACGCUACAGACUUGGGGAAGAGUGGCUGGAAAGCUGCCCGGAAGAAAAGGACCUGGGGGUGUUGGUAGACAGCAGGCUUAACAUGAGCCAGCAGUGUGCCCAGGUGGCCAAGAGGGCCAAUGGCAUCCUGGCUCGUAUCAAGAAUAGCGUGGCCAGCAGGAGUAGGGAAGUCAUCGUGCCUCUGUACUCAGCACUGGUGAGGCCUCACCUCAAGUACUGUGUUCAGUUUUGGGCCCCUCACUACAGGAAAGACAUUGAAGUGCUGGAGCGUGUCCAGAGGAGAGCCACCAAGCUGGUGAGGGGUCUGGAGAACAAGUCCUAUGAGGAGAGGCUGAGGGAACUAGGCAUGUUUAGUUUGGAGAAGAGGAGGCUGAGGGGAGACCUCAUUGCCCUCUACAACUACCUGAAAGGAGGUUGUAGAGAGGCAGGUGUUGGCCUCUUCUCCCAAAGGAUGAACGACAAGACCAGAGGAAAUGGUCUGAAGUUGCGGCAGGGGAGAUUUAGAUUAGAUAUUAGAAAGAAUUACUUUACUGAGAGAGUGGUCAGGCAUUGGAACGCACUGCCCAGGGAGGUGGUGGAGUCACCAUCCCUGGAGGUAUUUAAGAAACGUAUAGACAUGGCUCUUCAGGGCAUGGUCUAGUGCCCAAGGUUAUUGGUUUAUGGCGAGGUGUUCAGUGUGAGGUUUAGUUGGUGGGUGACUGGUGUGGUGUGUUUUUUUUGGGUUUUUUUUUUUUUCUUUUUUUUUUUUUUUUGUGUGGUUGGACUCGAUGAUCUCAGAGGUCCCUUCCAACCACU